rnacentral:lncRNA from 1 species
UGGAUAUUUUAUGAUAUGCGUGCAGACACAAACACAGCUGGCAUAUAAAAAAAAUGGAAAAGAAAAAAGAAAAGAAAAGAAAAGAAUGUAGACAAACAGAAUAUACUCACGAAAUGAAUAAUCAGGAAUUUGAAAACGAAUCCAUAAAUUCAACCUUCAAUAAACGGUCAAGAUUCAUUAAAAAAAAUCAAUUUUUAAAUCAGAUAACGUAAUCAGUCAGAAAAAGUAAAUUUCAUGAUAAUGAUCAUUUUUUAUAUUUGAACUUGAUAUAGAUCUCCACGAAUACAUACCCAGAUCUUUGAAAAUUUUGAACUAUACAAAAAAAGGCACAUAAAAACAGAAAAGAUCCCAAGAAAAAAGAAACAGACAAUAAUAAUCAUUAUAAAGGAAUCAAUAAAACGAUAAAAUAGUAAUAUUCCGUAAAAAUUAGGCAUACCUCUUGAUCAAAAGGAUAGGAUCAAAUCUUGAAGAAAAGAAGAUUCUUAUGAAUAUGGUUGCGGGAUCUCGUCAAAAGAAAAAGGAGUGCAAAUCCUCGGUAAUCCUGCUCAUACGUAUAUUUUCACUCAUGGACAUAUUAUAUUAUAUAUUAUGGAAUAGAGCGUGGAUUAUGCAAAGAAAUAAUUAAAAUUAAUGAAAUUAUAAUUAAGAGGAUAAAGCUCCAACUAUAGAAAAAAAUUAACCAAAUGUGUAU